rnacentral:rRNA from 1 species
GAUGAACGCUGGCGGCGUGCCUAAUACAUGCAAGUCGAGCGAACAGACUAGGAGCUUGCUCCUCUGACGUUAGCGGCGGACGGGUGAUUAACACGUGGAUAACCUACCUAUAAAACUGGGAUAACUUCGGGAAACCGGAGCUAAUACCGGAUAAUAUAUUGAACCGCAUGGUUCAAUAGUGAAAGACGGUUUUGCUGUCACUUAUAGAUGGAUCCGCGCCGCAUUAGCUAGUUGGUAAGGUAACGGCUUACCAAGGCAACGAUGCGUAGCCGACCUGAGAGGGUGAUCGGCCACACUGGAACUGAGACACGGUCCAGACUCCUACGGGAGGCAGCAGUAGGGAAUCUUCCGCAAUGGGCGAAAGCCUGACGGAGCAACGACGCGUGCGUGAUGAAGGUCUUCGGAUCGUAACACUCUGUUAUUCGGGAAGACCCAAUGUGUAAGUAACUAUGCACGUCUUGACGGUACCUAAUCAGAAAGCCACGGCUAACUACGUG